GUGCAAUUCCCCAUUCUGAUAGUUAAAGAGACCAAAAGGGAUCAGUUGGUAAACAGUACAAUGAAAAAGUGUUGCAGAAAAGUGGUUGAGAGAAUGAGGAAAUAUACAGAUUUAUGGCCUAUACAAGAAUUAAUGGAUUUAGCACUGUUACAAAGGUCAGGGAUUACAUGAAAAUUGACACAAUAGUAGAGCUAUAAGAAGAAUAGGUCAGUCAUAGUGGAAAUAGUAGGAGAAAGAGGUAUUUAAAAUGCUCAAAAACAUCUUGACAUCUUGAUAGAUUAAUACAAUAGGAGUUAAGAGGCAGACGUAAGGAGAUGACUUGGGAGUGAGUGACCAUAACUGUAGGAAUAAUAAUAGAUGCAGAUGUUAUAGGAAGAUAUAAGGGAUAAAAUGUACAGUUAAUGGUAAAUUACAAAAGGGCAAGAUAAAGUAGAUGAUAGAUAGAGAGUAAUCUAGUAAAUACUACAAUCUGCCUGCAGCAUGAUUUCCUCAUCCCCUCCAGCUAAACAGUAAAUGUAAUGCUGCCUCUUAUAUCUAAGGGGGGAAAGGCUCAUUACCAGCCGUGUGAGGACAUGCUGAUGUGCAGGGGUUAAUCCAAGUACUCCCUGUCCUGACUGAGUUCUGAGCAAGUUCAGCACAACAGUGCUAAGCGACAAACUGAAAAUAGAUAAGGACUCUGAGGCCUUUGUUAAGGCAACAGUGGCAAGCUGGAGAGCAAAGAGGGAACUUGGAAGUGCAAUGGAAGCGCUUGCAGCAUCAAAAAGACAAUACAGGCACCUAUGGUGACCUAAGGCUUCAAGUCUGGAGAAACCAGUAGCAGCACCAUCCUCAACACUAUGGCAGUAGGAGCAACCAUCACAGGUGUUCCCAAACCUGUCAGUCUACUGGCCUAUGGAUACGUAUUAUAGUGGGCACAGUCAAGCCCAUGGCAGCCACAAUCUCCACGUCAGUGGGGGUGGAGACUCAGACAAGAUGGGAAUAACUAAGGCAGAGUGAGAGGAAAUUACAGAGGAGGCAUCAUGUGAGAAUGGACAUCUGAAUCGAGACAAUCAUCAGUUUGUUUUGACUGUCAAAGACGUGGACAAAAGAAACAGGACAGGGAGAGGGAGGAGACACCCAGGCACUGAAGGAUGAGCCCAACGAGCAUGCCUUCCUCUUCCCUUGUGAAAUAGCAUAGUUUUAAGGAGGCCUAGAAAAUUCUACAGGAGAAGGGGUAUACCAAUACUAUCAAAGGGAGUUGAUGAGGAAACCAUGAUGAGGGACUAUCUUAUGGGUGAGCCCACCUGAUACCCAGCGAUGCCCUGACUAGGUACAGAGAAGGUAGUUAAGACAUCUCAGGGAAUAGAAAAGCUGGUGGAAAGAUGUUGGUCUUCAUGGAAGGAAUGGAGGUCCACCAACUCUAUUCUGUUAAUCACAGUAACAAAGGGGGGGCGAACCCCUGGUAGAAUGUUAAAUUGUAUGAUUUGUUACAUUUGUUACCUUGGGCUACAGAUUUUUUUAUAAUUUUUCACUGUCAUUAUUUGAUUAAUGUUUUAGUUGAACGUCCCUUUGGGGAAAAAAAGAGUCUGCUGAAUACCAUAACUGUAACUUUAAUGGUUAGUGGCAUUUAUAUGAUACUAACCAGAUACUUUCCCAACAGAUACAGUACUUGAUUCAUACAGUGCUUUCCUUUGCGCAUAUUUGGGAUCUAUGCGCAAGGGGGGAGUAGGAAAGAGGAAUAUUUUUAUUGAAGGAUUUUUGAUUUUCAUAGUUACAGGAAGUUAUUGAUGAUAGUCUAACAGAUGUCAUGUGUAUAGUCAUAAUAUCAGGAAAGUGAUAGUGUUGUCUAAACCAUUAGGUCCCAGAAGGAUCAUGAAAACACUUAGUUAUUGAUUACAUUGAUAUGAUAAAAAUAAGAAACUUUGGUAGUGGUUUGUAGGGGUUUUCAGAUGAUAAGGGCAAAUGACAUGUUAAAAGGGAGAAUUGCUAAAAUAUAUGCCUCAACAGUUUUAAACUGGUUUGAUGCCUUACACAUUGCUUCGAUGCAAAUAAGGUCACAAUAAAACCAGAGUAAUCACUUUUUGCAUUAAAGAUAAAAGCUGAGAGGUCCACCAGAGGCCCACCUUUGGAUCAGCUCCAAGGAUAAAUGAGAAAUUAUAUGGAAUAACUGUCAUUAAUUCACAGAACAAUCUAUAAGCAGGAAAAGGACUUUCAGAUGGACCUACAGGAAAAGAGUCAACAACCUACAGUAUACUGCCUGGGGACAGAAAUGAUCCUGGCAGUGGUGGGUAUAGUGUUUUUAGCAUGUAUGCUCCUGUUCCCCUGUUGAUUGUAGACUUUCAGGCAAGGAAUCCAGUGAGGAAGGGGGGACAUUGUCCGAGCAACAUCUGCCUGAUAACAAUCAGGGAAUGGACAGAAAACUGCAGAGAUCCCAGUCCAUACCACCAAACCACCAGGAAAUGAGCCAUUCAACUGUUGAGGCCGACAAAACAAGUGAGGCCGACAAAGAAGACUCAGGUAACACAGAAAUUAUUGACUGACAAAAUCUUAUCAACCACCAGGAAUCUGGAAUAUUGGUGAAUCUUCCAAUAUGAACGCAGUCUGUCAUGUGCUUGGAGCACUAAGAGAACAGGUGGCUGCAACUUCCUGGGUAGCUAUGCACAACUGGAUGAUGUUGGAUCAGAUAUUAGCCAAAGAAAAUGGAGUGUGUGUCAACAUAGCAGUAUAUUGCAGUACUUUUAUUCCCAUAACAUAGCUAUGGCAAAACUAAUAAUGAUAGAAAGAUAGUUUAAGGGGGCAUUAGGAGGAUUAGAAAUAUGGCUAGCACAAAUAGGAAUAGUUGUAGGAAUAGGUUUGCUUGUAUUUGUGCUUGUUUUCUCUUUGUUUCUUCCUUGUUUGAGAUCCAUAGUGCUUAAAACAGUGGCUGGGAGAAAUGGAUCACUGCUGUUGAUGAAUGAAGCAAAUGGCAACCCUAGUGGAAGGAGAUACUAGUGCCAGGACAGA